rnacentral:rRNA from 1 species
GACGAACGCUGGCGGCGUGCUUAACACAUGCAAGUCGAACGGAAAGGCCCUGCUUUUGUGGGGUGCUCGAGUGGCGAACGGGUGAGUAACACGUGAGUAACCUGCCCUUGACUUUGGGAUAACUUCAGGAAACUGGGGCUAAUACCGGAUAGGAGCUCCUGCUGCAUGGUGUGGGUUGGAAAGUUUCGGCGGUUGGGGAUGGACUCGCGGCUUAUCAGCUUGUUGGUGGGGUAGUGGCUUACCAAGGCUUUGACGGGUAGCCGGCCUGAGAGGGUGACCGGCCACAUGGGGACUGAGAUACGGCCCAGACUCCUACGGGAGGCAGCAGUGGGGAAUAGUGCACAAUGGGCGGAAGCCUGAUGCAGCAACGCCGCGUGCGGGAUGACGGCCUUCGGGUUGUAAACCGCUUUCGCCUGUGACGAAGCGUGAGUGACGGUAAUGGGUAAAGAAGCACCGGCUAACUACGUG